GUCCCCUUCGUCUAGGGGUUAGGACACGAGAUUUUCAUUCUCGCAACAUGGGUUCGAUUCCCGUAGGGGACG
rnacentral:tRNA from 1 species